ensembl:lncRNA
UACCUGGAACGUGGAACGGUGCAGUUUAUAGGCAUGGAAAUCAAAAAGCAUAUUCAGUCCAAAAGGAGUGGAGUAGCCUGAGGAGUGUGUGUUUCACUAUCAUUGUUACACCUUCACUCUGGGAUUUACCGGCUCCUGCCCCAGGAAGAUUGCUUCUUGUGUCUCACAAAGGUGUCUUCUUGCUCCAGCUUGUUUGAUCCUUGGCAACCUGCCUGGGAGCCAAAAUACAGUGGAAACAACCUCACCCUAUCACCAUUAUCAGCCCAUCAUCCCCAACCAGGCAUCCUGCUAUCUCCAGACAUUUAACCACUACAGACUCCAUGAGAACAUCUGCUGAAAGUCUGGUGAACUACUAGCUUCAGUCAGACUAAGCGUGGCUGGAGAGUUAAGGAAGGUCCAUUCUGUCCACAGUGCAACAUUUUAUGGAGAUCUUGAGUUGACAUCAUCUGAUACCAGUGAUACCAGAUCAUAAAUAAUUUUGAUGC